CGUUUCCGAACCCCCGCCGCCGUCGCCGCUCGUCGCCGCCGGCGACUCGACUCCGCCAACCAACCUACUCCCAAAUCCCAACACUCAACCAAGUCGCGAGAUGCGGCGGUGGCGCCGCCCACAGCCUACGUGGCCGCGCCUCCGCCUCUGCUCCCGCCGCGCCGACGUGUCAGCUUCCCGUCCACUCCCCAUUCUCCUCCUAUUACUUGGCUCCGCCGGCAACUAUUCGCCCCCGCACUAACUCCGCGGCCGUUUCCUCUCGAGCGGUGAUCAUGGCGGCGCAGGGGUCCCUAGUCGCGUGGAGGGCGGUGUUCGCGGCGCUGGGCGUGCUCAUGGUGGGCACGCUGGUGUACACCUGCGCCACCGACGGCUCGCCGUUCCGCUCCGAGCUGCUUACGCCAUGGAUGGUGGCAACACUGGUUGAUUUUUAUGUGAAUGUAAUUGCAAUCUCGGCAUGGGUUAUCUACAAGGAAGCAAGCUGGGUUAGUUCUGCCGUGUGGGUGGUUCUGUUGUUUUGCUUUGGCAGUGCUGCUACUUGCGCUUAUAUUGUUAUGAAGCUUUUUGAAGUAACACCUACAGGACCAUCUCAAGAUCCACUUGAUCUUCUGUUUAUCAGGCAAGGUAACCCAUCCCAGAGAAAAUGCUCUUAUGUCAUAAUUGGAAGGAUUAUUUUCAGCAUUUUGGGAAUAUUCAUGGCUACUGUUGUCAUAUAUACUGUUAUCACUGAUGGACUUCCUUUUAGGAAGGAACUGUUGACACCGGACCAUAUGUCUGUCCUCUGCACCAAUUUGAUAGUCUCAGUCUCCCCUGUACUCACCACCCCGUCAAUCUUGGAUUCAGCUGCUCCUUCCAGCCCACUCCUGAAGCCGUUGCAUGUCAUGGCAAAGGGUGGAUGGCAGCGACCUUAAUUGAUUUCUACAUAAAUAUCUUUGCAAUAUCGGUUUGGGUUGCUCAUAAGGAAUCAUCUUGGAUAUCAACUACCAUUUGGAUUGUCUUGUUGAUAUGCUUCGGAAGCAUCACAACAUGCGGAUACAUUGUUCUCCAACUUCUCCAAGUGUCAUAUCAAGACCCAAUCUACCACGUGCUAUUGAACUCUCAUAGCAAGUAUGGAAUUGCGACUUCCCUGUAAUCAUUCGUCUUCUACGAGCCUGGUUAGCUUACAGCUGUCUAAACUUCUUGAAAUGUAGGAAGAUUUGAAAAUUCAUUGAAGUGUUAUGUUCAGCCUGGUUCGUAAUAAUACAAAUGUUCCCUUCUAUCUACAUGUAAAGGUACCACAACUAAGGGUGUAUGAAGAUAGCAAUUAGAGAAGUUCCUUUUUAGUUGAGUGAAAUGAUGACUUUGCCAACUUCUCUGCAAAAUGGACUGAAAGCUAAAUCUCUGUUAUUGUACUUCUGAUUCAAUUGCUUGGACAGUGAUCUUUUCUUU